rnacentral:rRNA from 1 species
ACACGACUACAUUAGAUACCCGUGUAGUCCUAGCCGUAAACGAUACUCACUAGGUGUCGGCCACGGUGCGACCGUUGUCGGUGCCGUAGGGAAGCCGUGAAGCGAGCCACCUGGGAAGUACGGCCGCAAGGCUGAAACUUAAAGGAAUUGGCGGGGGAGCACAACAACGGGUGGAGCUUGCGGUUUAAUUGGAUUCAACGCCGGAAAUCUUACCGGGACCGACAGCAACAUGAAGGCCAAGCUGAAGACUUUGCCGGAUUAGCUG